UACGUAGGGUGCGAGCGUUAAUCGGAAUUACUGGGCGUAAAGCGUCUGUAGGUGGCUUUUUAAGUCUGCCGUCAAAUCCCAGGGCUUAACCCUGGACAGGCGGUGGAAACUACCAAGCUGGAGUACGGUAGGGGCAGGGGGAAUUUCCGGUGGAGCGGUGAAAUGCGUAGAGAUCGGAAAGAACACCAACGGCGAAAGCACUCUGCUGGGCCGACACUGACACUGAGAGACGAAAGCUAGGGGAGCGAAUGGG
rnacentral:rRNA from 1 species